rnacentral:rRNA from 1 species
UAACACAUGCAAGUCGAACGAAGCACCUUAUUUGAAUUUCUUCGGGAAGGAAGAUAAUGAGACUGAGUGGCGGACGGGUGAGUAACGCGUGGAUAACCUGCCUCAUACAGGGGGACAACAGUUGGAAACGACUGCUAAUACCGCAUAAGCGCACAGCAUCGCAUGAUGUAGUGUGAAAAACUCCGGUGGUAUGAGAUGGAUCCGCGUCUGAUUAGGUAGUUGGUGAGGUAACGGCCCACCAAGCCGACGAUCAGUAGCCGACCUGAGAGGGUGACCGGCCACAUUGGGACUGAGACACGGCCCAAACUCCUACGGGAGGCAGCAGUGGGGAAUAUUGGACAAUGGGGGAAACCCUGAUCCAGCGACGCCGCGUGAGUGAAGAAAAUAUUUCGGUAUGUAAAGCUCUAUCAGCAAGGGAAGAAAAAUGACGGUACCUGACUAAGAAGCCCCGGCUAACUACGUGCCAGCAGCCGCGGUAAUACGUAGGGGGCAAGCGUUAUCCGGAUUU